CUGCAGUGUAAAAUAUUGCUGUAGGUUUUGUGUUUUACAGUGCCAACAACAGAUGUGGAGAUGCUCCAGUUCACCUCUUCAGCACCUGAUUCCUCACUGCAUGUCUCUUCUUUCUGAUAGAAAAUUUUGCCUAUGAAAUUAAUCAUUCUCUUUGCUCUUACAUUCCAGUCAGUUUCAGGUAACAAUUCACUGCAGUUAUAUAAAGGUUCUUUUAUAUUUACUCCAUUGGCAAACUACUGAAAACUGAAAAUUUAUGGAAUUCUGUUCUUUGCCAACAAAAUAGACAUAAAGAAUUUAUAUUUAACACAUGGCUGUAAGGACAACACAGAAAGGACUCAGAUGUUUAAACUUCUUUCUUUCUUCAAAUGAAUGCUCAGGAGCCCUGGUCCACAGUGAGAAUCUUGUCAUUCUGUGCAUCACUGCAUUGGAAGACUUACUUGAAGAAUCACAAGACGCUUCUAUCAUGUGCUAUACAGCCAAGCUGGAUGUGAACUUGCAUGAGAAAUUUCACAGCUUGGUUUCCAAAUAUUCAGAAGGUAUUAUUGUAACCUGUUUUAAGAGUAUAUGUACUCAGGAAAAUUGAUACCUGAAACUAAGAGAGAGGCUUGGAAACUUAUAGCAGAAAACCUUAGACAUGGAACAGAUUGCUGCAAAGAGAAAAGAAUUAUCUGUUCCUUGUAUCUACAGUGAACAGGACAAGAUGUAAUGAGGCUAAAUUAGAUCAAAGGAGACUUAGGAUAGACAUUAGAGAAAACUCUCUCACAGUGAUGAUAAUUAACCACUGAAAUAUCUUACCUUAAGAGAGCAUGAGCUCCCCAUGGUUACAGCUUUUUAAGGACAUUGAAAAAGUAUCAGUGAGGUUUGGCUUAGGUUUCUUUGUUCCUAAUUUGUUGCAGUCAGUUACACCAUGGAAUAUUAACACCAGUCAGAAUCUUCCACACAAAAUGCUUAGUAGAUUGUUCUAACCUCCAGUAUACUCAGGGAAUUGGCUCAAGCAGAUUGGCUCUCUAAUAGAUAUUAAGACAAUUUUUCCUGUUUAUAG
rnacentral:lncRNA from 1 species